GAAAGGGGAAGGUGCUCAAGCCGCCCCUCGCACGUGCCUGGUGUAGCUGAGAAGGCAGAGCAGGUUAUCUAGUAUUUGGAAGGUUGGCAUGCAGACUGGAGCCAAUUUACACACCAAAUAUCCUCGGAUUCACCUAAAAACAUCACAGUUUCAGUCAGUCCUUCUGGUCCAGUACCGGAGAACAGCAAUGUGAGUCUGACCUGUAGCAGUAAUGCCAACCCAGCAGUGAGGAACUACACCUGGUACAGAGCUGAUGGAGAGCGGGAGACGUUUAUUGGAACAGGAACCAGUUUGAAGAUUCAAGUCUUCAGAGACAGACGGUCAUUUUUCUGUAACGCUGAAAAUGAGAUUGGAGUUGGACGUUCCAGCAGCAUUCAAAUUGAUGUUCAGUAUUCACCUAAAAACAUCACCGUUUCAGUCAGUCCUUCUGGUCCAGUACCAGAGAACAGCAAUGUGACUCUGACCUGCAGCAGUAAUGCCAACCCAGCAGUGAGGAACUACACCUGGUACAGAGCUGAUGGAGACCAGGAGACUUUAAUUGGAACAGGAGCCAGUUUAAACAUUCAAGUCUUCAGAGACAGACGGACAUUUUUCUGCAACGCUGAAAAUGAGAUUGGAGUCGAACGUUCUAAUCUGACUCAGCUUGAGAUUCAUUUUCUUCCACAGAUCCUGUUUUCAUCAGAUUGUGUUAAAACUGCAAGUCAGGUUAACUGUUCCUGUGACACUGAGGGAAACCCUUCCCCUGCUGUACAGUGGCAUUUGAAUGGGGAACCUGUCAAUCACUCUGGUGAAUUUGAAAUAUUCAGUGAGACUCUAAACAUCACAGUUCACAGGAGCUCCUUCAUUCUGAGUCAACCACAAGUGAAGCAUUUUUCCACCCUGCUCUGCCGUAGCUUCAACUCGCUGGGAUCUGCCAGUCAACAAUUUUGUAUGAGCAAGUUUAAAAGCUCUGCAGAACCUCAAGGCUUGUAUUUGGUGCAAUUGUAAAUACUCUUGUUUAACCCACAUACAUAAUGCAGUGGAGA